rfam:Canis lupus familiaris chromosome 1, whole genome shotgun sequence.
UGGUGACCUGAAGCUCCCUGGCUGUCACUCUGUCCCAGCCCCUCCUGGCCCGGGGGGCAGAGCCUGAGUCCCAGUAAAGUCUGUGGGUCCUGACCC